GACCUGGUCGGGCGGUCCGCCUAACGGUGUGUACUGUCUGACUGGGCCUUACCUCUUGGUGAGCCGGCGUGCGCUUUAUUGUGUGCGUCGGGGAACCAGGACUUUUACCUUGAGAAAAUUAGAGUGUUUAAAGCAGGCCGAUGCGCUUGAAUACAUUAGCAUGGAAUAAUAAAAUAGGAC
rnacentral:rRNA from 1 species